GGGCAGCGGUGGUGAAGGCUUGCCUUUACCAGCCGGCGACCGGCGCACGGGUGAGUAACACGUAUGCAACCUGCCUGCCACAGCCGGAUAAUCGGGAGAAAUUCCGUCUAAUACGGCAUAAUGCACCUAUGGGACAUCCUGUUGGUGCCAAAGGUUAAUUCCGGUGGCGGAUGGGCAUGCGUCGCAUUAGUUAGUUGGCGGUGUAACGGACCACCAAGACGACGAUGCGUAGGGGUUCUGAGAGGAAGGUCCCCCACACUGGUACUGAGACACGGACCAGACUCCUACGGGAGGCAGCAGUGAGGAAUAUUGGUCAAUGGGCGGGAGCCUGAACCAGCCAAGUCGCGUGAGGGAUGACGGCCCUAUGGGUUGUAAACCUCUUUUGCCGGGGAGCAAAGUGCCGCACGUGUGCGGUUUGGAGAGUACCCGGAGAAAAAGCAUCGGCUAACUCCGUGCCAGCAGCCGCGGUAAUACGGAGGAUGCGAGCGUUAUCCGGAUUUAUUGGGUUUAAAGGGUGCGUAGGCGGACGCUUAAGUCAGCGGUAAAAUUGCGGGGCUCAACCUCGUCGAGCCGUUGAAACUGGGUGCCUUGAGUGGGCGAGAAGUACGCGGAAUGCGUGGUGUAGCGGUGAAAUGCAUAG
rnacentral:rRNA from 1 species